rnacentral:rRNA from 1 species
GAGGGAAUCUUCGGCAAUGGGGGGAACCCUGACCGAGCAACGCCGCGUGAGUGAAGAAGGUUUUCGGAUCGUAAAGCUCUGUUGUUAAGGAAGAACGAGUGUGAGAAUGGAAAGUUCAUGCUGUGACGGUACUUAACCAGAAAGGGACGGCUAACUACGUGCCAGCAGCCGCGGUAAUACGUAGGUCCCGAGCGUUGUCCGGAUUUAUUGGGCGUAAAGCGAGCGCAGGCGGUUAGAAAAGUCUGAAGUGAAAGGCAGUGGCUCAACCAUUGUAGGCUUUGGAAACUUUUUAACUUGAGUGCAGAAGGGGAGAGUGGAAUUCCAUGUGUAGCGGUGAAAUGCGUAGAUAUAUGGAGGAACACCGGUGGCGAAAGCGGCUCUCUGGUCUGUAACUGACGCGGAGGCUCGAAAGCGUGGGGAGCGAACAGG